rnacentral:tRNA from 1 species
GGAAGCGCAUCCGCGGCUGGUGCGCGGCUCGGCCUUCAAAGCCGGUGGUGCUCCGCGCGAGCGGCGGCACGGCGGGUUCGAUUCCCGUGCGCUUCCG